CUAAUAAACCCUAAUCUUCUCGCGGUUUUCUGCAUAACAUUCUGCAUUUAAUUCUACAAGAACUGAAUGAGUAUCAUGGUUCUUGAUCGUGAAUUGUGCCGUCCAACUGCAAAUCACUGUUUUUGGAUGUAUCCGCAUACAUUUUUCCAUAUAAACUUCCAACGAGUUUAGCACCGCCCAAACGUUGACCGAUUUGACUGAAAUUUUGUCCAGAGCAUCAGGACAUCAAAUAGAACCGAAUAAGAGGGCCCAUCAAAAAAUUUGAAAAAGUGUUUUUUGAGCCACCUUAAUGCACGAUUUCCGUUUAUCUUUUAGGUUCGCUCUAGAGAAAAGAGCAGUGAGUGAAAGAUGUUUUUCACCACAUAACUACGAAAAACGAUUCUCCUUUGACCCGAAAAUCGCUUGAUUUUGUCUCAUCGAAACGAAAAGUACGAACCCGUCGCAUGCCGAAUACUACGCCGAACCUCCUUCUCAUUGAAUUUAAAUGUGCUUGUCGUCAGCAAGCGUGAUGGAACCACCGAACAAGUUGAACGAGAUGAAGAAUUUACUGCCGUUGGUUAUGUGGUCGCUUAACGUUCUGUCGACUGUUGUUUUCUUCCGUAACCGUAUGCCCAUCACCUCUCGCAUCAUUCUGUGCUACUUUCACCUUCACAUCCGGUCAGCAUCCGCCUCCGACGAGUUUCCGUUCUGCUGAUCCGCUUGGAACUUGCGGCAGUUUUGCUUGAGAUGUCCCGCUUUCUUGCAGCAGUGAUAGGUAGGAUAUUCGUUGCUUAACCUGUUCGCUGCGGAUCGCAUAGCCUUCUCAACUUUCACCGUCAAGCGGGAAUUGUCGUCAUCUUCCGACCUGCCAUCGCUGUCGCAGAGCAGAAGGUUGAGAAGCGUGUAGAUUUCUGUUGUCUUCUGGUGAUAAUUUUUCAGGACUUCAUAGACAGUUCGCACAGUUCUUGAUCAGCGCUGCUAACUGGCUGUCAUCAAGAAUCAGGCUAAAUCGUCCCAUUUAGCAAGGUAACGAAAAACUUUGCUUGGACCUAAAGCUUUUAUAUCUUAAACUCUAUUGUGGAAAAUGUGAUAGGUAUAUUUUAUGAAUAAGCAGUUAAGCACAUCUCAAAAUAAUUUAAAUCGUCUUCUAUGUUUAACUUGUUGCUGAACACGUCCUUGAGUUCUUGUGAAACAUUGAUAACGUGUUAUACUCUCGGCCAAAUACAAUAAAUUUACCGAGGUCGUAGACUUGUAUAGCUUGAUAAUCCGCCACGUGAUUGUAUCAAUUUAACAAUGCCAGUUUUUAGAUAUGCCAGAAAAUGAUAAGACUACACUCGGUUAUUACGCUGGGGAUACGUACUCCGUAAAAAACUGUGAAAAGCUCGAAAUCCGCAUUUCAGGGGGAAUGAACCCGUGUAAAUUAUUGGUUGACACCAAUGGGUCCGCUUUUGGAAAUUGCAGUUCAUAGUUAAUUAGUUAUUUCCCUAAUAACAUUUUGGUUUUAUGAUGGUUUUAUAACACUCUUGUAGAGUAAAUUAUGGUCUUUAAGAGCGUUAUAAAACUUAAAAUGGGUUUAUAAUCAAAGAGUUCAAAACAAUUGCUGCAAGUUGGAUUAUUUGUAAUGUGACAUAUAAGCCUACACGUAAAUGGUUGUAAAAUUCUAAAUAAUUAUGUCAUUUAAUUUUACUUUUUAAAUAUUUAUUUCAUUUUGUUUAUUGAUUCGAGUCCCAAUGCAACAGCUAGCAUUUAACACUGGAAAUAAUAUAGAGCUAGAAAGAAUAGAAGACUUGCACACAUGUACACACUUAAUGUCUUCCCAAAUCCCAUAACAAAUUCUAGUAUAUAAAAUCACAACAUUUCUUUCGCUUUGAAAUUUUACACAGCUGCAUAUUAUAUUAGGUAUAGUAUUAAAACACAUGUUUUGCUGAAUUUUUGCUAUUGUUUAUUUUAUUUUACUAACUUUUGAAUAUUAUCAUUUUUUUAAAUUAUUUGUUGAUUGUUUCGCUGAAAUGCACUACAUUUUUGGUUUAGUUUCAAAUCUAAGCUUAGAAAAAUGUAUUUUCACUAAUGUUGAAGGCAGAAUGACAAAAAUAACUUUAGAUAAGACAAUAUAUCAUGAUAAACUCAAAAUCAGUAUGACAUAUAUUCCAUUCAUUUUGCGGCAUUAUACAAAUUAACCGUUGAACGAAUAUUUAGAUGAAAAUAAACAUAUUCAAAGUUCAUCUUGUUCCCGCAGAUUGCAAAACUAAAACUAUAGGGAUGAAAUAAAUCUUUUUCUCGUCACACUCGUGAAAUCACAACAUGGAAAAAACGACAGAAACAUAUUGAUCGCCAUACAUUAACUUUUUUUUUCAAUAUACUACACAAUACCUUCUUAAUCUAGAAUGUAAACUAUCCAGUAUUGCAAAAUCCAACCAGAAAAGUAUAACAAUAAUAUCAGACUUGCAUCGUUCUAAUUGUUACUUUUGACUGUAAACGAGGCGAGACAGGCGUUUUGAAAGGAAUAAAAUUAUUACACCCAUGGCUUCGCACCUGGCUAAGAAUUAAAAGUGACAAGUUUAAAGCAACCAUAAAACAAAACGUUAUCCAUGGGAAAGUGGAAGUUGCUUCUUUUUUUCCUCUGAGGUAACAAAAAAUAAUAAAAGAGACGCUGUAAUUGUAGCUGGUUUAUGAAAGCAUGAACACAUAAAAAAAUGAGUAGCGAAGUCAUAUUGUAACUUUUAUAGGAGGCACUUUAUAUAUAUUAUAGUCGUAUACACACCAAUACAAACGGAUAUGUACAUUUUACAAUUACAAUUAAAGUGACUAAAUGACCCGCUUUACCAUGUAAUUGUAUCUUGUUUGAUUAUUCCAUUUUAUAGAACAAUCUUUCAAUUAUGUUUCAGAUAUUAUUAUGCCUUGUCUUUUAUAUACACGUAUUUAUUAUACACAGAAAAAAAUCGACAAAACAGUACGAAAAAAAAUUUAAAAAAUGUAUUUUGACAAAAAAAAAAGAAUAAAAAAUAAUUUUGUAGUAUGUUUUUAGGUGAUAGAUUUCCCCCAACUAGUAUAACAGAAUCAAUUAUAGACAGUAAACACGCGAACCGCGUGUCUGGGAAGGAAAUAAUGUGUUGUAGACCCUACUCUUGUGACCACCAUUGGGUAUAACAAUCUCGUAUACAAACAAACACUAUUCCCACGUGGAGGAUGUCGCAAUUAAAAAAAAAACUAUGUAGUGAACGCAUAUACACUCAUGAUGAUAUAAAGGGCAUGAAGGUUACAAUAAACGGAAUACAAAUGUGUGAACAAUUCUUGGCUAUUCAGAAAUAGCUUUAUAACACAUGCACGUGCACACGUAGACCAAGAAUCACGCGUUGCGUGUUAAUCGAAAACGUAAAGUGUUGAAUGGACAGACACGAAGAUAAAAUCCUAAGCCAAAUAGAACCCAUAUUAUAAAUAUACACAUACUCAGAUAAAAAAAAAGCUUUUGAAGUUACUAGAAACGUCUUCGACACUUAUUCAAUUUUAGAGUAGUUCGGCUGGAAUGCGGCAACAGGACAUUAUUAGAUGUUGGAUCUUUAUACUCCUAGCCUAGUUAUGUUGAUACAUUUCAAAAUUUUCCUGAUAUGUGAAGUAAAUCUAUGACAUAUUUCUUAAUAUUAUGAUUUUACAUCCAAAAAAUGAAAUAUUUUAUUAGAACUGAAGUCAUGUUAACAAAUAGAUCGCAGCAAGCCAUGUGGUUACUUUUGAAUUUCUCUUUUUUUGACUUUUCGAAUAUAUUGGUUGCUAUUUGGGCAAUCUAUUGACUUCUCCAAAGCCAGAAUCACCAACACUAAUGUCACUGUGUAGGAUGUGUAAAAUAAAAGUGGGUGGUAAUCCAGUUGCAGCUAAACUAUCACAAACACACAGAGUAAUACUGCGGAAUCACGCACACUUUUAUUCAUUUGGAGAACUCAAUAUAGGGGAACGGUUCGCCACUUCAUCUCAUAGCUCCUAUUUCCAUCCCAUAAAAAACAAAGCAGGGAAGGAAUUUUGUUUGUUCAUUAUUUUUGUGAUUUUUUUCAGCAGUGAGCACGCGUGUUGACAAAAAGAAGCGACGAAUUUGGUGCCGUAUUUCUUUGUUUAGCGAUGAGAUGGAUAUAUGUAGGGUAAAACGACCUAUUAUGGAGGGGUUAAGCACCGUGUCGAAACAAAAUUGAUUACAAAUAUUCUUCGAAAAUUACCUGUUGGUCGACUUCCACAUUGUAGUAGUUGAAUAGGAUGCUCGUUAACUAUAGUUUCGUAAAUAUUACGUCAAUUGUGCUAAAAUUAUGUUGUUUUGUUUUUAUCACAAUAAAACAAACUACCGCAAUAAUAGGACGCAGUGGCCGUUGCGAUAUUUUUUUGUCAGUCCUAUUGUUGCGGUAUUGCAUGUAAUUCUUAUGGAGAGCGAUACCGCAACUAUAGGACCUUAGCAUUACCGCAAUAAUAGGCUCAAAGGAUUCAAAUUUUUAACGAAAAAUGAUGAUUUUUCAUCGUUUUGAACGGAAACAAAAGCUGUUCUAGUCGUUAAUCCGAAGAGUUUAAGCGUACCCACAAUUGUUUUCAAUGGUAAUAUAUCCAGAAUGGACUUCUUUAACACUACCGCAACAUUAGGGCAUACCACAACGAUAGGACGUUUUACCCUGAGAUGAGAUGGAGAUCGGAGCACUUCCCCUAAAUAAAAAUGAAUUGCUGUCUGUCUGAACCUUAUAGAUUCCAAAACUACUAAACCGAUCGGCGUAAAAAAAAUGUAUGCAGGGGUUUUUAAGGCCGGGGAAAGUUUUUAAGAUGGUCCCCGCUUUAGGGGAAGAUAUGUUUGUGUGGUGGUUUGAAACCCCUACCCCUUCUGGAAAGGGGCGCUCCCAUACAAAUGAACCAGACAUUUCUGCAUAGCUUGAGAACUAAUCAGAGAAUAAAUUUUAGGCAAAACGAAGUUCGUCGGGUCUGCUAGUUCUGCAUAAAAUGUGAGAUUUUUGAAAAAAAAUAUGUUAGUCCUCGGAGUAUUUAUGACAGUCUUCAAUUUGUAAAUUACACAACUGAUUGUCUCAAUCCUACUUUUGAAAACUUUUUUGCUGACAUUGAAGCCAACAUCACUUUUGAUUGUAUAGUAUGUAGGGUAGAGAACCAUUUGGGCAGUACCCCCUAUUCCCGUCCACAACGUUCAUUACUCGAUCGCAUUACAACCGAGUUAUUUGUUUUUUAGUACCUACAUGGUUAGUUUCUGUCGACAUCUAGUGAUGUACAAAAAAAUAAGCCAUUUGGUUGGAACACGGUCGAGUUAUUAACGUUGCGGACGGGAAUAGGGGGUGCUGCCCAAAUGGUCCCGCUCCUUAGGCUGUGAACCAUUCCACCGAUUCGUUUAACUUUUAGUUAAAAUUUGACAGUUGGAUGGUUAUUUCGCCGUGGUUAAAAAUAACCCUGCUCCGGAGCAUGGUUAGUUUUGACAGUUCGAUAGUUAAACUUUGUUCGCGAGAAAAUUGGCGCCAAAUCCAUUUCGCUUCAAAUAACCAUCAAUCUGUCAAAACACAAAUGGGUCGGCUUCAGAGUAAAAUUUUAACCACGAUGAGAAAAUAACCAUCGAAAUGUCAAAUUUUAACUAAAAGUUAAACGAAUCGGUGGAAUGGUUCACAGCCUUAGUAGCAAUGAACAAUUUUUGUCGUAAUGAAUAUGGUGACCAUGGAUAGGAGUUGUCGAUUUCUGAGUUGACGAGAAGGUGCAUGAUAUGGAACCUUCUCCAAGAUGUACCGAAAGUCGAUGUUGCAUGUUAUGACGUUGAAAAGCAACAUUCUUUGAAGCAUUGUUGACGGUCCGAUUAUUAAUCAGUGCACCACAAUUUUGGUAUGGAGAAAAGUUAGCUGGAUCGUUCUACCACAGGUUCUACGGUAAGCGAUGCAAAGCAUAAUUAUUGAUGAAGCGCUUCUGGAUUAGCUAAAUACGGCUAGUAUAAAUCUGAUCAUUGCGUUGGCCAUAACGAGAGUAACUAAGACAUCCCAGGUAACUGUAAGCAUUUAAAUUAGCCGUACUUGUGACUAUAUAAUGCUAUCACAGAUCUGAUAUGCUCUAUGCUGGCUGUAUGAUUACCUGCGAUGCUCAAUACAACGAAGACUACAGCUGUUGAAACAAAUUUUCUAGGUCUUUGAUCGAUGGAACCUCUGAAGUGCUGUGUGACUCAAUUCUUAGGGUUCUCCAAUUUGUCUUACACUGUAUAUACGCCAUUAGGUCAUCGAACGCUUUUUCAUGAAUCAAGUCUAUGUUCACAGAUAAUUGAAUUUACUGCUGGGUAUAGCACGCCGUGCAGAAAAGUCUCAAGUACUUUAGAGCGGCAGUUCAAGAUAGAUAUUGACCAGUAGGUCUGUACGCUAUGAAUGAUUCCGGAUUUGUUCACGGGAACGAUUGAAGCAAGUCUCCAAGCACCAGGGAAAGCAAUUUUUAAUGUGGGCCCAGAUCGACCAGAAGAUCAUUUUUUUAAAUUAGCUUGAAAAAUCCAAGCUCCAUAUAAUCAGCCAACCAUUAUUGGAAAGUGUAUUCUAGCUUUGAAGCUGUGCCAGUGUUGAUGUUGAGAAAAAAUUCAACAUCUCAAAACUCAUGGACGAUUCAAAUCAAUUGUGAGUUGAAACGCUCCUAACUCAGCACCAGUCAAAUCUUAUGGCCGCUUCGCUUCGCGCUUCUCGUCUACUCUCUCUUGUCGCACCCUUACCCCUCUUUUUAAGGGCAUAGCGAUUAGAUGCCAAGAACAAAAUAACCAUUAGUUUACCAGCCGAGUAAAAAUAUGUACGUAUUCCUGGUGUUUCUAUUGUUCAUGAAGGCUUAUUCACUAAUAUCAGCUCUCAGCAUUAACUUAUUUGCUUUUUUAGGAUUUGAAUCCUCCUCCCGUAAAUACAUGCUCUAGUGAAAUUUGAUAAAUAUUCUAUUUCAAUUCAAAAGAAAUUUUAGACUUUGGCAGAAUCGACUGUUCAACAUAUUAGAAAUUGUUUUGCUUUAUAUUGCCUUAUCGGAACAUUUUUCUUCUAAUUUGUCCUGUUGCACAUUUCAAAUAUUGAUAUAUUGACUUUAACCUGUAGUUUACGUAUUUUAAGCGAAAAAAGUUGUAAUCAAAGUUUUACAAAAUAUUAUAUACAGUCAUGUAGUGGUUUUAAAGACAGUCGAAAAAUAAAUAAUGAAAAAUCCAAACUCCAAACUACACAAAACUAACCAAAUAAACCAAAACGAAGAAGAUAAGAUGUACGUUCUGCGAGUUGUAUACAUUUUUGGCGCAAUGGUUUUUGAAUUAGGAAAAUACACACUAAACAUAAAUUCACGGUUGAGUGGAGUCAUAGAGAUGUUUAAAUAUGUUGAUGUAGGAUAUAAAACUAAAGUCUUAAAAUUAUUGAGCCAUUUUCAAAGUAAUAAAAUUUAUACUACCUACAACCAUGCUAAUAUGAGAAGAAAAGAAAUGAUCAGACUACCUAAAUUGGAAUAUAAAACCAGGAAAGCAAUAUUUUAUUGAAUAUAAAAUUAACUACAAAUUAUUUUCUCGAGUAAAAGAACGAGUUGACUAAAGUUUACUAUUCGACAUUUACAUCCAUAACACUAGUGUUGCUUUAAUCCAACGAGAUAUGCAAAGAUAAAGGUAGAAGAACCAAUGAAAGCUAUCCAUACAACACUCUUAUGCCGCAAAUAAAGUAAGAAGUGUUGGCAGAAAACAUUUAUUUUUUUACAUUUAUAUAUAUUUACAUGCAGCGCUGAAUUUCUUAUUCACACUAAGACACACAAUGGUUGAACUGCAAGCGAAUUAAACACACAUGUUUUCCACGAAUGGUUUCCUGCAAGAUAAAUAAAAUGCAAACACUGAAAAACUAAGCGAGAAUGAGAAAAAAAAAAUGAUAUAUUCAUUAUAUGUAUUUCUCCUAAAUGUUUAGAAAUUUGAAUUCGAUAAAAAGGUAUUUUUCGUGAUAAUAAACAGACCGUUUGUGGCAGCCACGUUAUCUAGUAAACGAACUGACUAUUCCCCGCUGUAAGUAAAUGUUCUAAUCCCAAUAAGAGUACCAAUAUUGGUAUUAAAAGUAAGAAACGACAACUUGACGACAUUUCCACGUUUCUUCUUUACAAAUGAAAAUUUUAAAACAAACAAAAAAAAAAUUGACAUAAUAGAAGCAAAAAUCUACACGUUAGACCAUGAACGGUUGUGACAUAUUUUAUAUCACUCAUUUUAUUUUUAUUUGGAAAUUUCCGUUUUUCGUAAAAUCUACAUUAUAGAGAAGUACGAAGUCCACAAGAAAAUUGCGAAACAAUGCGAAAUUAUUUUGCGACGAAUCAGCUUGAUCGAAGUUUACCAAUUAUUUAUACACAUCACGCGAUGGUCAGAAAGUUUUGCAAAUUUUGAAAUAAUAAAAUUCUUAUAUAGAGUAAUCAAUGAGAGCUUACACAAAAAAAGAAACUAAAUUUUAGGCAAGCAAAAAUCAUGUUAUAUACUUUUGCCGUGUUCUAAUUUUAGUUGUAGCGUUUUAAACGUCCAAUCAUCUCUACAUUUUAUCCAUUUUUGGAAGAUUUGAAAGCGUAAGCUAAUAAAAAAAAUAUGUCAUUGCAUAUGCUUUUAGUGCAAUCAAACCUGCUGCAGACAACAACGUUUAUUUUUCUGGGUAAAUUCCAAGCCUCGUUAUGAAUCCCUAGUGUAGGUUUAGUACAAAGUAACAAAUGUUUUGCUACUCAAUUCAAAUCACAUAUUUAGACGCCCAGCCAAUAUUUCUCUCAAAUGCCGGCUUGGGAGAAGAAAAAGUCAGACAAUAUUUAUACUAUAUUUUAAAAUUUUUGGCCAAAACAACUUAUUUUGUUUUAUAUUUAUAUAUCAUUUUACAACAUUUUAAACGAUGACAACAAAUCACAAGAAAGUGGGUGACAAACGUUAAUAAAAACGAUAUAGAAAACCAAAAUUCAAGCCUUAUGAGAAUCGUUUUUUCGAAAAAAUAUUAUCUAUAUUUCCUAUUCUGUAAACGAUACAUGUUCUUGAAUGUAUUUUCUAGCACAUAUUCAAUCGUGUGUGGAUCAAUUCAACUACUUCCACGAUCUAUACCGUUUCAAAAUCUUGUCAUCGAACAGAACCACAUACCUAACAACAAUAACUUCAGCAAAUCCAUUAUUAUACUUACAAAUGAAUGCAUAUAUUAAACACACAUAACACAAAAGCAAAGCAUCUUCUAUGCGUCAUCUUGAUGCAGAAUAGAGUUGAAGAAUACCUAAUCGAAUUGUAUUUGUCAACUAGUAACUAAAUCCAGUCGACACCCUUCGGGUGCAUCAUUAGUAAAAGUAUUUCUAAGGUAAAAAAGAAAAUUAAAGUAAAGUCACAUAUCACAAACAGAGCAAAAUUGAGGCAAACAUCUGAACAAAACAAAAAAAAAACUCCUUGCAUAGUACUUUUAUCUAUUCUGACCCAGUAUGCGAGGUUGGAGAACUGCGUUGGAGGUGAAAAAACAUGAUAAUAAUUUUUGGCGUUGUACACAUAUAAUAAUGUAACACAAAAAAAUGAACAAAAAACAACAAAAAGAUACUUAAAUAUUUAUUCAGCAACAGAAACUCCUAUCCAUUCAAAAUCAUCUCAAUAUUGAGAAUUUAAUACAAAAACUACUAGUGUUAAUUUUUUGCACAAUAUUUACAACCAAAAAUGUAAACAUUACAAUUUUUAGAAGGAAUUACGAGAAAUAUUAAAACAAGAACUAUUUUUUGAACAAUUAUAAACAGAACACAAAAGUAACGAGCAAGAGUUUUAAAUUUACAGUCAAAUAAAUAGAUCAAUUAUUAUUAUUAUCAUUGACAUAUAUUGAUAUUGCGUUAAGUAAAUCCAGUUUACAAAACUGAUGGCGAAGAAAAGAAACAAGAAGAGAAAUUAAAAAAAUAGAGAACCUUAAAAAGAGUGAAAAUUUGAGCGGCUCACUGCAACUACUAAAAUAUAAUUGUAUUCCAAUUUAACCUACGGACCCCACUUCUCCCGAAAAUGCAGAACAAAUAAAAACAAACUAUAGAAAGCGAAUGCAAAAAAAUAAACAUACAUAUAUGAUGUAGUUUAAAUCCUUAAGAAGAGUGUAGUGUAACUAUGUGUAGGUGCAAAAAAAAGGAUAAAAAAAACUAGCGAGUGAGUGUGCGUUCUAUAACAAGUAACCAUCAACAACACAAAGGUUGCAUAAAAUGCUUGUUUCGUUGCUUGAUGUUUGCGUUGGUGGUACCUCGAAAUACUAGAACAAGGGAUUGGCUGAAACGCUAUUUUGACUCUAAAUCGAACCGGCAACGACUAUUGUUCUCAGCAAUCAGAAAGAUCAGUGGCGCCAAUCUGCCAAUGUUUUCAUUUUUAUUAUUGUAGUUGGCAGUUUUUCGGUUUUCUGCCGAGCUCUAGUUUUAGUGUUGCUAGUGGUACCUAAAUCUUCUCAUUCGGGUAUGUAGGCAUGUUAUGGUUUGGUUGGGUAGCCAGAUCCUGAGGUCUUUAAUACCAACUAAACGCCGACAUAUAUCGUGCAAUUGACGUCUGCUUGUCUGUGACUUUCUAUUUUUAUCUUGAAGGAUGCUCAUUGCCUUAAUAUAGGGGAGAGCAGUCCAAUAUGCUUUUUCAAUGUUUUCACCAAUAUCAACAAGAAUGCCGAACCAUUUCAACGUGCAGAUGGAAAAGUUACAAAACUUGCUACGUUUUACAAUGAUCCGCUAUCCAAAACAACAAGGUUUUUGUGACUUUCUAACGCAUUUAAAACGGGCCUGGGGCGAAACUCCCGAAUGGUGAUGUAAAAUGACUCAUGCAGGAGAAAUAAUGGUGAACGCAUAGUUCUCGCUUAACUUUUCAAAAGGACCUAAGCAACGGCUUUCUACCGGCAUAGCUUAAGCCAAAUAUCUGAGAUUUCGCCUAGGUUCGCUUAUAUGCCUAAUGUGCAGAAAUUCUCUGCGGUAGCGCCGAGUAAACUAGUUGAGGCGGCUUGAUUAUGAAUCAAGUCAACCCAGUUUCGCAAGUUGAAUUUUGAGGUAUAAACUUUAUAAAACACGGCUUGUAUACUGUUUCAAAAAUAACACCCUUUGUUAAACAAUGCGCUCAUUUUUUCCAUUUACCAUAAAUUCGACUUGCGUGGGUGGGCUCAAAUUAGUUUACCAGCGACGGGAGAAGCUUUUCUUUCGCCCUUUUGUCAUGUUGGUGCCGAGUUAUCGAAUACACAGAAGUUUUGCAUUUUUAAGCUUGGAAAAUUCUGGAACCGAUUUGCAUUUUUGAGCUCAAAUUUGAAUUUUGAAUUUGGCAAAAAAUGAUGUUUGCUAGGCGAGUCACGCGAGACGUAUAAUAAGCACAACUGAGGUUUUCAGCCCUAGGCUGAUGAGUUUACGUUAAGUAUUUGUCCUAUCUUAGGAUACUCACUCACUCUCUACAUAUAACUUGUCCUAGCAGCGCAAUUCAGUCGAAGUUGGUUCCAGUAACUCAUAUAUGACUGAAUUUGGUCAUAUAUGAGUAAUAGAAACUCAUUACAUAAUUGUUAAAUUUAAAUUAUCUAUCGACAUCAUUCAUGUUCGAAAACUACUCGACCAAAUCACAGCAAUAGCCUGCAAAUUGAUUCCCCAAACUCUCCGUCGCUCUUGUAUUUAGUAGCAAUGUUGGCAAAGAGACAUUGCAUUAGAAUGUAGUGCGCUUGUCGUCUUGCGACCGUAGAAUUUUCACUUACAUGGAAUCUUAAGUCAAAUAGAAACACAAACUUGCAAAACAUUCAAAAUUGAACCAAUCCCUAGCAAAUAUGUUUGAGUAGUUGAAGCUUGAUUUGUCCAUUAUUUUUUACUUAUUGUAAAUUAAUACAAAAACGAAUUAUUGAAACCUUUUUUUCAUCUGUUGUUGUUUGAAUUGAGUUUUCUCAAACUUGUAGAUGUUGUUGAUUUACAUCGAAAAUUUAUUUGUUGUAUUCCAACAACGCAAACAUAUUUAUGUGGGAAAGAAAUUUGGUGAGUUUUCUUCAAAUGUUACGCAAUUAAUGCAACCACACUUACAAACGCGUCAAAUAUUAAAAAGAGCAAGCAGAAAAAAACCAAUAUGAUCGGUAGUCCUUUACUUAUUAUAUCAUCAGGGUAUUUCUUAGUUGAACACUAUUUAAAUGCGAGUCAAAUUUCUGCAGGACUUUGUAUUAGAGACAUACUCAAAUAUAUUGAAAUUGCAUAAAAAAACAAAGGUAUGCUAAUAUAUACAAUACAUAUUAUAUAUACAACGUACAUAUAUACAAUUUUGCUGCUUAAUAGUAAUAUUUUUCCAGUCAAAGAAAAAAGACAAAAAAGACAAAAAAAUACCAUGUGACCGGAAACACUCAAAUCAGAUCCGAGUAAUGUUUGGAGAUGAAAAUACCAAAAAAAGAAGCAAAACAUAAAAAAGAGAAGAAAAAUAACACACUAUUCGUGAUAUACAUGAAUACAUAUAUAUUUCACUGUUUUAUUUAUUUGUAAAGAUUUGUGGUUCUUUUUCCUUGAACAUAAAUAAAGUAUUCGACUUUAGAAAAAAAA